AUACACAGACAAGUUUAGAUUGUAAUUUAAUAUACUCUCGACACCGAAUUAAUUUUAUAAUUUUUUUUUGUUUGUUUGUUUGUUUCUUAAAAUCUUUUCUUUGAUUUCUUUUAUAUCCUAGAAAUUGUCAUUCAUGAAUACGUCACGUGUAUAUGAUACAGAAUUUAUCAGUAUUCACUAUCUCACUUCGAGAAAAAUUUAAAUAAAAAAAAAAAUCCGAAAUAGAAAAUCAGCCGCUAGAAAUGACAAUUUUAAUAAUAUCCAAAUUGUUGCAAGUACUUUCGAUAUAUA